rnacentral:rRNA from 1 species
UGGGGAAUAUUGCACAAUGGGCGCAAGCCUGAUGCAGCCAUGCCGCGUGUAUGAGGAAGGCCUUCGGGUUGUAAAGUACUUUCAGCGAGGAGGAAGGCGUUGUGGUUAAUAACCGCAACGAUUGACGUUACUCGCAGAAGAAGCACCGGCUAACUCCGUGCCAGCAGCCGCGGUAAUACGGAGGGUGCAAGCGUUAAUCGGAAUUACUGGGCGUAAAGCGCACGCAGGCGGUCUGUCAAGUCGGAUGUGAAAUCCCCGGGCUCAACCUGGGAACUGCAUCCGAAACUGGCAGGCUAGAGUCUUGUAGAGGGGGGUAGAAUUCCAGGUGUAGCGGUGAAAUGCGUAGAGAUCUGGAGGAAUACCGGUGGCGAAGGCGGCCCCCUGGACAAAGACUGACGCUCAGGUGCGAAAGCGUGGGGAGCAAACA